GACUCCUAGAUGUGGGAGGGACUUUGGAGGUAAUCUCAUUCGAUCUUUGUUCCCAGGGCAGGAAGCCUUUUCCACCACAAGAGCUGCACGUCAUCCCUACUUUCUUGAACAUUUCAUCAGUGGGAGCCUACUCCUUGUUGAAACUGCUUGUCCUACCUCUGGGUAGGUCUCCUUCAUCCGUUUAUGGAUUAGUUAAACUAAUAUUGAUGAAGCACCUAAGGAUUACCUGGGUAUCCUUUACCAGUUGGAGAACCCUCAUUCUGUGCUAAAUACAUCUGCUUCCUAUUCUGUUCCUCGUAUGAAAUAUGGAAUGAUUUUCAACCAGGAAGAUUUUAUCUCAUUUUUUUUAGGAGUUUUAUGGCUUCAAGUCUUCCAUUUAAGUCUUCAAUCCAUUUUGAAUUGAUUUCUAUGAGAUGGUAUUUGAGUUCCAUUCUUUUGUUCGUGACCAUCCAGCUCCCCCAACACUGAGUAUUGAAGAGACUGUCCCUUCCCCAUUGUUAUUGUUGGCUUCUUUGCCGUGAAUCAACUGAGCAUGUAAGUGUGACUUCUGGACUCCCUGUUCUGUCCCAUUGAUCUCUGCGGCUGUUUGUCCCAAUGCCACACUGUUUUACUUACUCUAGUUUUGUAAUAUAGUUUGAAAUCAGACACAGUGAUUCCUCCAGCGUUCUCAUUCUUUCUCAAGAUUGCUCGGGUUAUUUGAAUUUGCCCAGCACCUGGUCCCCAUCUGUCAUUAGGGAUCCAGCCUCCUCACAUGAUUUUGUGUCUUCUCCAGGUGGUAAAUAUCAUCAGAUUGGGGAUAAGUCAACUCUAUGCUCUGUUGAUCAAGCUAUCCCAGAGGUACUUUAACCACUUCCUGUGCUGCUACUUCCUUGCAUGAAAACACAUGCCUCGGUGUUGAGGACGCUGGCUCCCGGGGCACUCCACGUCCCCAACCUUGAGUUGCCAGAGCAGAGCUGGGACCUGUACCGCCUUUUGUCACCAGGGAAACAAUACAGAGAGAAGAGCUGAGGCCAGAAAAUUGCCUACACCUUGGAGACUGGUUACCCCUCCUGAGGGGGGGCGGAAGAGGGAGGAAGCUAACCAGUGAGAGACACUAAACAUAAAAGUUUCCAGAGGUGGCUUGGCAGAAAAGCUCAAACAUGUCUUAAACUAAUUUUUUACCAAUUUAUUUUUAAGGCUAUCAUCAUCUUCGGAGAUCCUCAUGAACAUGUGACAUAUGGAUGUUUAUUUCGACAUUAUUUAUAUGAGUUACUUCCAGUUGCACUUCUGCUUAAGUGGUAGGACAAAGGUCAGACUGUAGUGGUGAGGAGGGAGCAGAGGGAGUGAGACCAAGAGGAGGAACAUGACAGACCUGGAGGAGAACAGCAAACAUCCACAGUCAUUCGGGAACAGAAGGGAAGCCCGAGUUGUGCGCAGAGGGGAAGACAGGGCAUGUAUGGAUGGGGCUGGGAUAGGACAGCUCAGGACUUCAUAGGCAGUGAGAGUGGGCUCGGGCUUAUUUUGAAUGAGAUGGAAAAUAAUUGAAAGAUUUUAGCCAGGAAGUGAGAUAUCCUGACCACCUGUCAGAAGACAUUUGCUCAGGCUCUUAUUGGAAGAAUAAAUUUUAGGGGGAAAGAGUGGAGUCCAUGGGGACCAGGUAGCAGGAUCCAAGAGCCACCAGUCAGCUUGGGUUUUAUUACAACCAUAUUUUUUUCCCAGUUAUACUAAUAACCCUGCCAUAAACAGAAGGAUAUAGGUUUUUCCAGACUUUAGGUUAUUCUCUUUGGGGAGAAUUCUUGAAUUAGAAUGACUGAAUAAAAGAUAGGAUUUCUUUCUUUCCUGAAGGUGGUCUGUACCAGCACUCUUCACAAUAGCCAAGAGAUGGACACAAUCCACAUGCCCACCAGCGGAGGAAUAGAUGAGCAGACUCUGAAAGGGGGAGUUUGGGUGCAGACGUGCGCACAGGGAGAGCGUCAUGUGGAGCCCGGAGUCACAGUCACACGCCAAGGAACUACCCAAAGCAAGACCUGGAACAGAUCCUCCCCUAGUGCCUUUGGGGAAACACGGGCCUGUCAACAUCUGGAUUCGGCCUAACCGUGAGAUAAUGGUUUCUGUUGUUGGAACCACUCAGUCUGCGGUACUUUGUUACAGGUGCUCCAGCAAACCAGUACGUUCCUGACACCGCUCACACGUCCAUAGAGCAGCGGCUCUUUUAUGGCUGCCCAAGCAAGACAAGUUUACAGAACACACACAUUUAACACCAUAAACCCAACAGGUUUUAAAUCCGCUGCAUUAAAUUAAUGCGAUAGUCCGUACCACUCGGCCGCAACCGUGUCAUGACUGGCCAAGUGAAAACGGUCCUGACUGCCCUCGUUCACGUACAGGUGGAACGCCUCGUUU